rnacentral:rRNA from 1 species
GUACACUCCUGCGGGAGGCAGCAGUGGGGAAUAUUGCACAAUGGGCGCAAGCCUGAUGCAGCCAUGCCGCGUGUAUGAAGAAGGCCUUCGGGUUGUAAAGUACUUUCAGCGGGGAGGAAGGCAAUACGGUUAAUAACCGUGUUGAUUGACGUUACCCGCAGAAGAAGCACCGGCUAACUCCGUGCCAGCAGCCGCGGUAAUACGGAGGGUGCAAGCGUUAAUCGGAAUUACUGGGCGUAAAGCGCACGCAGGCGGUCUGUCAAGUCGGAUGUGAAAUCCCCGGGCUCAACCUGGGAACUGCAUUCGAAACUGGCAGGCUUGAGUCUUGUAGAGGGGGGUAGAAUUCCAGGUGUAGCGGUGAAAUGCGUAGAGAUCUGGAGGAAUACCGGUGGCGAAGGCGGCCCCCUGGACAAAGACUGACGCUCAGGUGCGAAAGCGUGGGGAGCAAACAGGAUUAGAAACCCGAGUAGUCCCA